rnacentral:tRNA from 1 species
UGGCUCAGUGGUAGAGUGUUUGCCUUGCAUGCAUGAGGCCCUGGGUUCGAUUUCUCAG